CUACGGGUGGCAGCAGUGGGGAAUAUUGGACAAUGGGGGAAACCCUGAUCCAGCAAUGCCGCGUGUGUGAAGAAGGCCUGCGGGUUGUAAAGCACUUUCGGUUGGGAGGACUGCUUCUAGCACUAAUAUUGUUGGAAGUUGACGUUACCUUCAGAAGAAGCACCGGCUAACUCCGUGCCAGCAGCCGCGGUAAUACGGAGGGUGGCAAGCGUUAAUCGGAAUUACUGGGCGUAAAGCGCGCGUAGGCGGCUAGAUCAGUCGGGUGUGAAAGCCCCGGGCUUAACCUGGGAACUGCAUCCGAUACUGGCUAGCUUGAGUACAGGAGAGGGGAGUGGAAUUCCACAUGUAGCGGUGACAUGCGUAGAUAUGUGGAGGAACACCAAUGGCGAAGGCAGCUCUCUGGCCUGAUACUGACGCUGAGGUGCGAAAGCGUGGGGAGCAAACAGGAUUAGAUACCCCUGUAGUC
rnacentral:rRNA from 1 species